rnacentral:rRNA from 1 species
CGGCACGCCUAACACAUGCAAGUCGAACGAAGUAGCAAUACUUAGUGGCAGACGGGUGAGUAACAUGUAGGUAUCUACCCUUUGGCCUGGAAUAACACGAGGAAACUUGUGCUAAUACUGGAUAAGUCUUUACGGAGAAAGCUUUAUGCACCAUUGGAUGAGCCUGCACUUGAUUAGUUUGUUGGUAGGGUAAUGGCCUACCAAGACUUUGAUCAAUAGCUGAUUUGAGAGGAUGAUCAGCCACAUUGGGACUGAGACACGGCCCAAACUCCUACGGGAGGCAGCAGUGGGGAAUCUUGCACAAUGGAGGAAACUCUGAUGCAGCGAUGCCGCGUGAGUGAAGAAGGCCUUUGGGUUGUAAAGCUCUUUCGUCGGGGAAGAAAAUGACUGUACCCGAAUAAGAAGGUCCGGCUAACU